rnacentral:rRNA from 1 species
GAUGAACGCUGGCGGCGUGCCUAAUACAUGCAAGUCGAGCGAACAGAUGAGGAGCUUGCUCCUCUGACGUUAGCGGCGAACGGGUGAGUAACACGUGGAUAACCUACCUAUAAGACUGGGAUAACUUCGGGAAACCGGAGCUAAUACCGGAUAAUAUAUUGAACCGCAUGGUUCAAUAGUGAAAGACGGUUUUGCUGUCACUUAUAGAUGGAUCCGCGCCGCAUUAGCUAGUUGGUAAGGUAACGGCUUACCAAGGCAACGAUGCGUAGCCGACCUGAGAGGGUGAUCGGCCACACUGGAGCUGAGACACGGUCCAGACUCCUACGGGAGGCAGCAGUAGGGAAUCUUCCGCAAUGGGCGAAAGCCUGACGGAGCAACGCCGCGUGAGUGAUGAAGGUCUUCGGAUCGUAAAACUCUGUUAUUAGGGAAGAACAAAUGUGUAAGUAACUAUGCACGUCUUGACGGUACCUAAUCAGAAAGCCACGGCUAACUACGUG